GAUGAACGCUGGCGGUAUGCCUAACACAUGCAAGUCGUACGAGAGUUUUUAACUCUAGUGGCGGACGGGUGAGUAACACGUGAGAAUUUGCCUUUAGGAGGGGGACAACAAUCGGAAACGAAUGCUAAUACCCCAUAUGCUUUCGAGUGAAAUGGAUUUUAUCCGCCUAGAGAGAAGCUCGCGGCUGAUUAGCUUGUUGGUAAGGUAAGAGCUUACCAAGGCGGCGAUCAGUAUCUGGUUUGAGAGGACGAUCAGACACACUGGAACUGAGACACGGUCCAGACUCCUACGGGAGGCAGCAGUGGGGAAUUUUCCGCAAUGGGCGGAAGCCUGACGGAGCAAUACCGCGUGAGGGGAAGAAUGCCUAUGGGUUGUAAACCUCUUUUUUCUAGGGUAGGGAAUCAAAUGACGUGUACCUGAAGAAUAAGCAUCGGCUAACUCCGUG
rnacentral:rRNA from 1 species